rnacentral:rRNA from 1 species
GACGAACGCGGCGGCGUGCCUAAUACAUGCAAGUCGAACGAGAGCGACCGGUGCUUGCACUGGUCAAUCUAGUGGCGAACGGGUGAGUAACACGUGGGUAACCUGCCCAUCAGAGGGGGAUAACAUUCGGAAACGGAUGCCAAAACCGCAUAGGUCCUUUAACCGCAUGGUUGAAGGAGGAAAAGAGGCGCAAGCUUCUGCUGAUGGAUGGACCCGCGGUGCAUUAGCUAGUUGGUGAGGUAACGGCUCACCAAGGCCGUGAUGCAUAGCCGACCUGAGAGGGUGAUCGGCCACAUUGGGACUGAGACACGGCCCAAACUCCUACGGGAGGCAGCAGUAGGGAAUUUUCCGCAAUGGACGCAAGUCUGACGGAGCAACGCCGCGUGAGUGAAGAAGGUUUUCGGAUCGUAAAACUCUGUUGUUAGAGAAGAACAAGUGCUAGAGUAACUGUUAGCGCCU